AUGGGAAGGGGAAGGGGCAAAGUCAGGAAGGCAAACCUAAAUAUUAUGGGCGGGCAGAAAAAGCCAGUACGCAUGUGCAAAACGCCGCGGCAGGUAGGCGGGGACGGAAAGGCGGUGCCGAGAGCUGUGUUGUGCCCGGAAGUGCCUUCCUUCCUCCCGGGUCUGCGCGGACGGGGCCUCCUUAACUCAUUUGUCCUCGCCCCUCCCCGUCCUGCUACGCGUUUUGGUUCCCGGUUGGUGCUUCCUGUUUGCAGCCGUUGCAGUGAGUUUGGAGGCCAGUCAGUGAAGCGCGGAGCCCCGGCGUGUCGAGAGGGAGUCCAGUCUUUGAGGACCGACUGGUCCUGGGCCACCUCUCGCCUCUGCUGUCAGAAGCAGAAGCUACAGCCGUAUCCAGUAUUUCGGGAGCUGUGUCCCUU
rnacentral:lncRNA from 13 species